UGGGGAAUAUUGGACAAUGGGGGCAACCCUGAUCCAGCAAUGCCGCGUGUGUGAAGAAGGUCUUCGGAUUGUAAAGCACUUUCGACGGGGACGAUGAUGACGGUACCCGUAGAAGAAGCCCCGGCUAACUUCGUGCCAGCAGCCGCGGUAAUACGAAGGGGGCUAGCGUUGCUCGGAAUGACUGGGCGUAAAGGGCGUGUAGGCGGUUUACACAGUCAGAUGUGAAAUCCCCGGGCUUAACCUGGGAGCUGCAUUUGAUACGUGUAGACUAGAGUGUGAGAGAGGGUUGUGGAAUUCCCAGUGUAGAGGUGAAAUUCGUAGAUAUUGGGAAGAACACCGGUGGCGAAGGCGGCAACCUGGCUCAUGACUGACGCUGAGGCGCGAAAGCGUGGGGAGCAAACAGGAUUAGAUACCCUGGUAGUCCACGCCUGUAAACGAUGUGUGCUAGAUGUUGGGUAACUUUGUU
rnacentral:rRNA from 1 species